rnacentral:lncRNA from 1 species
GUGCAAGCUAAUUAACAGGGUACCUGGGACUCCAAGACAGAGCCCACUUAGCUUCCCAAAGAAAGUUGUCUUCAGCAGUAGGACAAGUGUGGGAGUUCACUUUCCUGCUUCUUUCUUGCAGUGUGAAAUUCAGUCUGGUACAGAGGGCUGGAGAAAGGUCCUCUUUUCCAUUUAGGGAUGAGUGGGGUUGGAGGAGCUGCCAGCAGAGCAGCUGUGCAGAGGUAUCUCUGCACAGCUUGCACACUGCAGAGGAAGGCCCUGAGCUAGUCCCAUGGAGGCCAAAGUGCAGGGAAGGGCCCCAAGAGCUUCAGCUUGAAGUCCUAGUAUCUUGCACAGAUGUUGAGAGGUUGCAGUAGCAACUGCUAUUCCAGCCCACAGGCUGGAAUAAUGGUUGGAGAUGAGGAUACAUGCAGCAUCCUUAUUGGCUGUAAUAUGGGGAGAUGGAUUCUACUUUCCCAUCUGCUCUCGUUACUUGGGCUUUAUGUGGGAAAAGUGAAUUCCACCCUAAUAUGAUCAUUUUACCAUAUAUUUGCAGGUCAGUAGCAACCAGUGAUCACCAUUCUCUCCCUUUCAGCAUUGUUUCUGAAGUUCAGGAAAGUAUUUUUUCCUCUGGGACUAUUCACUGAACCCCUCCCUUGCUGAAGCUUCACCCAAGAAAGCCAAAUUCAGGAGUGCAUCUGAACAAUCUUCAGAAAUAUGCUACUUUCAUCCUGUCAGCAGGCCCACAUUCCAUCAAUGAAAGACUAGUGUGGCAUAGUCCAGUCCCCAUUCUCUCAACCACAGCUCUUCAGACAAGCUUCAGGAACAUGCAGAACAGAAACGUUCACCCACAGUCCUCAAGGCUCAGCAUGGGACCAAAUAGCCAGACUUCUCCCCACUGUCAGGCUCCUCAAGGUUGCCUGUGCUGGAAGCUUUGGAGGAAGGCGAAGAAGAAAAAUACAAUAGAUCCUGCAAACCCUACAAUAAUAUACUGUUGUACCAUAGGAGGAAGGGGGGAAUUUUCUUGCUGACUUGACAUGAUAUUAAUUUUACGCCCUGAAAAGGAGGAUUGGUUGCCUUGUCGUUUUAUGCUAGUUAAUAUAAUUGCUCAUACGUGUUAUAAGUUUCAAUUAAAAUACAAUCCUCAUUGCUUAAAUUAACCAUUUUAAUAGUUAAUCUCCACAGACCCCAUCUUGUUUGCUUUUAAUU